GCACGUAUAAUGACGUGCACGUAGGACAGGUGAACAGACACGAACGCAGAGUAUGCCGUUGGCAAGAGAGAACUGUUAAGCUGUAUCGAAGAUGAGGCUAAUAUUCCUGUUCCUGUUUAUCGAGGUGAAUGCCGCCUGGGCAAGUCAAAGCAGUUCCAGAGGAGACAUUUGCAGCCUGCCUUCACCUCCCAGAGGCACUUGUAAUGAGACUCACAGAGUGUAUUACCACCGCAACGGUCGCUGCUGGCCACUUAAUUUCAGAGGAUGCAAACAUGAAGGUGGCAGAAACAAGUUCGAGACAUUAGAGGCCUGCAAACGGACAUGUAUGGGAACUAUAUGCUACAAAUGACCGCACAGGAAACCAGUCGCGGGCAGAAGCGAAGAUUUACUGAACGAGAACCAAAAGGGGCUGCCUCUAAUUACAAAGUGGUAGCAGACAAGCGAAGCAUGGUGGUUGUCCUUUGGACGACAGCACAUGUUCUUUGGGUUUCUCUUUUGAAGAAUAUGCCAUUUUUACAGUACAAUAACCAGUGAUAAUAAAGAUAAGACGUUGCGCUUUCCACCAC